rnacentral:tRNA from 1 species
GGCAUAGUAACUUUAUUUUUAGUUUUUGGUUUGAUUCUAUGAUUUUGCUUCUGCGGGCCUAGCCAGGCUCUUUGCCA